UGGCAGAAUUCUCACUAUUAUCUAUACUCAGUCGGAACAUCGUUCAAACAAACCAAAUAUUUUGCCAACACCUCUUCUCUGAGGAUACAUUCCCAACCUUGCUGCUCAACCACUGGAUAUGCAAAUACUGCUGUAUAUGUGAGGGGAGAAAGUACAGGGCAGGGGAAGAAGAGAACAUUUCUUCUCUUCUCCAAAAUUUCAGUAUUAUUCUGGUUUAAUCAUCCAAAAGAGUCUACAGGUUCUUUUCCUCUACCUUUAAUGUGACCUACCGCAGACAAUACAUUUUUAGAAAUUCUAUAAGGAAACUAUCAUUUGAUGUUACUUGCAUAUAUUUUGAUAAUAGAUUUAGCUGAAUCCAACUUAAGAUGUGACAUAAAUGCUGAAAUAGAUAUCAAACGAACAAGGUGUUCAACUGCACUAACCCACUCUCUAACACAAUUAUACCCUACUCAAAAAAUCAAUUCAAACAUGUAAAAGUCCUUCACCUCUGAGCACCCACCAUUCUGGCUCUUCCUUACUAUGAUAGUGGAAGGAAGUGAAUUCCAGUUUGGACAUGAAGCUGAUUUCAAUUUUUGGCUUUUAGCCCAGAGAGAAAAGUUAGGUUUCUUCCUACAUAGCUAAGUGCUAUUGCUGGCUUUAAAGACAGAGGUUAAAGGAACCAUGAGCCAAGGGAUGCUGAUGGCCUCGAGAAGCUGGGAAUGGCCCUUGGUUGACAGCCAGCAAGGAAAGGAAGACCUCAGUGCUACAAAUGCAAGGAACUAAAUUAUAUCAACAACUUGAAUGAGCAAUAAAAUGGACUGUCCCCUAGAACCUCCAGAAAGGAAAACAGCCCUGCCAAUACCUUGAUUUUAACCCGGUAGAUCUAAGUCAGACUUCUGACCUACAGAACUGUGAAAUAAUAAAUGGGUGUAACAUAAGCCACCAAAUUUGUGAUAAUGUGUUAUGACAGCAAUGGAAAACCAAUAGUCACUGUUGCUCUAAUGGCUAGUCAUUAGUCCAAAUCUGUUUAUGGCACAGGAAUGCUCAUCACAUGACAGUGUUCAGUAGAAGUUUCCCAGGCUCCCUCUUUUUUAUCCCAAUAGCUAUAAACUAUCUCCACUCUGCCAAAUUAACCAAGGCUCUUAGAGUCUUUCUCAAGUAUUAGCAAAGACUCCACUGACAGAGAGAAAAUCAGAAUAAAUGGCUAAACAGGGAAGAGCAGGACUCUAUACUACUGUAGUUACACAGAAGCUCUACAACCAGUUGUCUAUCACUGCAUAUCAAUCUUAAAUUGAAAACUUUAAAAUUCUAUCAUAUGAAAUUCCUCUGGGGAAAAAAUAAUUUAGUCAAAAAAUGCAAUAAAAAGAAGCUUUGAAUGGACACUAAAAUAGAGCUCAGUUUACCUGUUCAAUAGUAAUGUCAGUCACUUCACUUUAAGAGGUAAAGUUUUUGUUCAAGCCAUUAAAUUAUCUGCAAAUAUAUACCACACAACACAAUAUGAAAGUUCGCAACUAAGUUGGCUUCACAUUGUAGUCUAUUUUAAAUAAGUGAGAAACUUGUUUGAGAGUUUGGUUAAAAUCAUUAGAGUACAUGGAGUUGACAUCUGUCGAAAAAAGGUAAGUGCAUUUUUAUUAAGGAAAUGACAUUCAGUCACAGUAAAUGGUAACUGUCAAGCAAGCAAACGUAAGAAAUUGGUUAAGGAACAAAUAUAGAUAUUGUUUAGUUCUAUCUCAACAGUUUUAAUCUUUCUAACUCACAGGGAAAGAGAUUUAAGUCAAUGACAAGAGCAGUGAAAACCAUUUCAGGGGGAAAAACAGAUUUUCAUAGUCUUCAUGCAAAGCUAAAGUUUUCAUCCUAGAUUUUUGUUUUUCUAGCUUCCACUUGUCACUUAUUUGGUAAAUAGAUAUUUUCAUGAAAAUAUGAAAUGGAAUGAAGAAAUUUCUCACCGGGAAUAUUCCUAGCCAUCCUUCAUUUGAACAGGGGUCAUUUUAAUAUAACCUAUGUUUCCAAGACCAUACCGAGCCAGAGGUACAAAUAAUAGAAUUUACCAACACAACAAUGACAUCGACAAAAAAAUAAAUACUUCUCUGCUGCCCCUUCUUACCCUGUCCUUCUCCUCCCUCCAUGAGUGCUCUAGCUCAUUAGCCAAAGAAAGCUGGGGCACCAUGGAGAGUGUCUCACAUGUGAUGCAUCCUCCUGCUUUGCUUGUGGCCUUCAUCAUUUUUCUUCUUUCCUGGUCAGGCUCCCUCUGAAGAUACCUGGAGUCACUGACGAUAAAAAUAAAGGGGUGGUUUUGACGCAGAUGCCCAAUGAAGGCAUGUUUGCUGUUGCUCCGUACUAUGGAGCAGGGCCAAGUUGGACAAGAACGGGGCCAUAGGGAAGGGAUCACAGGAGCUGCCAAAGAGCUGGCUCUAAUCUAAGCUUCCCCCUAAUGCUUCUCCAACUUUUCCAUCAGAACACCCCGAAGGACAUAAAAAAAGAAUGUAAAUAUUCUUUGAAGUCUUAGGGUUUUAUCAAUGUAUAAAAAUUUUACACUUUAUUCCAUUAUAAAUCUUUGCUUCUUUUAAUAUAAACUAAUGUUUUCAACUACUCACAAUCAAGUGAAUUUGAUGACCUGGGAAGACAGGAGAAAUAUGAGAAUACAAAAAGGGAUAAAAAUCAUUUUCUUUUUUAGGUUUCUAAAUUGUCCAACUAAGCUCCAAGGUUGAGGGGGGAUGGGGCUAACCAAAAGAAUUCCUUUUGCCAUAUUUUUUCUUUUUAGGUACCAUAAUGAUACAGGAAGGAUCUAACGGAGAUGAAACUACAUUGCUUGGUUACAACCUGCAAUGAGUUUAGCCAAGCAUGUUAUAGGGGACAGAGACUUCCACAAGACCACACUCGCUUCUUCAAGUUCAGGGGGUUCUCAAAACCACCUUUACGUUCAAUAAGUCACUGAAAGUUGUUAUUCUCAUAAGUUGUUCCAGGGAAAGGCUAUGGGUUAAAAUUAGCCAAAUGAAGAGACACACAGGGCAGGGUCCAGAAGGAGUUCAAACGAGGAGCUUCCAGGUGUCCUCUCUCAAUUGAGUUAUGGAAAGCAUUACCUACUCCUGGUCAAUAUGUGGCAAUAUGCACAGAGUAUUCCCCACCAGGGAAGCUCACCUAAGCCUUUGAUGUCCAAUUUUUAUUGGGGCUUGAUUGCAUACUGCCCAAUAGCUGAUCUUUAUUCUCAAGCCCCUCCAGAGGUUGGGCUAAUAUCUUUAGUCAUCAGUUCUUCUGGAGGUUCAACCUGAAACUGUGCGACCCAAAGCCUCUCUCAUAAGUCACAAUGAUAAACUCUCUGGGGGCCACAGGCCACAGGUGAACAAAGAUAUUCCUAUUAUGCAGGACACUUCAGGAGCCUGGAGAUCACCUCCCAGCAGCCGAGGGCAAAGCGAGAUCAUUUUUUGGGUAAGGUUCAUUCUUCAUACUAGAUAAACUAUGGCUAAAAUCAUAUUUCUCAAAUAUAACCAUACAACAAAAGCCCUCUAAAUCAUACAUGUUCAGCCCUCCAAUGUCAAUGAUGCAAACGGCUCCAAUUUCCUUUUUAUAGAAUCUCUAAAAGGUAGUUAAAGAAAACCCUAGAACCCAAAAGAAUGCAUAAAAUCAAACUUAUACUAGAGAUUUUCAAAAUACUAUUCAGUACAAGCCAUAAAAUCAGAUCUUCAUUAUUUACUGAAAAUCCUAAUAUGCACGGUGGCAUUUCUAUUUUGAAGAGUUUCUCAGGUAGUGUCCUCAACUUGUUCCUUUCUAGUACUUGAAAACUGUAAAUUAUUCAUGAGAGGACAGACCCAAAGCAAAUGAGAACAGAAACAGGAAAACAAUGAUAAUAAGCCACCUUGUUCACAGAAAUUCAGACAACAGUGUAGCAGAAGGAGGGUGGCUUUGGGGAUCAUCAUUUGAUUCUGGCUGCAUCACUGUUGUCUAAAGGUCUGUGUGAAUGUGAAGCUGAGAUAAUGCCCCUGUGAUUUAGGUGUUUUCCUCCUUAACUGUACUUUUUUCUUCAUGAAUAAGCCUUGGAUUAUACAGGCUUAUUAAAAUAAAAUGCAAAGACUUAUAAUGAUAUUCUUGCUUUCUUUUAUUCCUCCCUGUUCAAGUCUUUUAAAUAUUUACAUACUCAGAAAAAUUAGGAAAACAGCGAAGUGAUCUGCUCCAUAGAUAACCGCUGGGCUUUACUUAUUUAUUAUGCUAAUUAGGUAGUUUUGUUUGAGGAGACUGGUGACAGUUAUUUAGGCAGGGGUUCUACAUCAAGUGAGGCCUAAAGGAAGUAGUUAACAGAAUCCAAACAGCCAUGUGGAAAGGGCUUCCCGACAGGAGCUGUGACCUUUAGUCUAGGGCAACAAGGACCUGCCAGGAACAACUAGAGGAAUAAAUAUUCUUCCUGUUCUCUGGAUAGCCUACUGUGCCUCCCACUGACUGAACCCAACUAGAAACAAGACUGCAAGGCACCUGGUUGAUGUUGUCCAAACAGACGAGCCUCAUGCGCCAUAGAACAAGGGAGAGAAAAGUACAGAGUGAAGCCAGAAGGGCAAAUGCACUGGUCUGAGAACUAAGCCCUGGGACACUCCAACGCUUAGAAGUCAAGAAAACUAGGAUGGACAAGCAAAGGAGACUGAGAAGGAAUAGCUAAUGGGUAGCAAGAAAACCAAGAGAGUGUGACAUCCUACAGCCAAAUAAAGGUGUUUUGAACAGAAGAGAAGUAAAAUUUUUAACUGUAUCACAUGUGGAUGGGUCAAAAAUCCAGGGAUUGAAAAUUGACCGCUGGAUUUGGUAAUGUAGAUGACACUAGGAACUUUGAAAAGUGUGUGGAAAUAAAUUAAGACCUUCCAAAUGAGAAGAAACAGAGGAUAUUUAGUCAGAGCUUUCAAUAGCAAGGGAAUCAGCCACCACCACCUGCAUUUGGCAGGUAGUCUGGCGGAUAGUUAAAAGCUUGAAGAAGAGUUGGAAAGCUUUAUAGUGAAAAAAAGGAGGGGCUUCAGUAUUGCCUUGAUUGGAGGUUGUGCGCAUGGGAAAGCUGGAGAUGGGCUACAAGGGGGACAUCCUAUGUGAUUGGCUUGAGGCUCAUAUUUGGCUUUCUGUGGUUGGUCUGAGUUGGAAGGGAGUCAGAAAUUAGGGAAGCUGCCAGUCACAGACCAAGUCCUGACCCUUUUGGGCCUAUUGCUACAAAGGCUGUAGUUUGGCUUCCUAGACGGAUUGCCACAGAGAUUAUGGGUCAGAGUUCUGUUGUCAUCUAUGAUGUGUCCACUGUCUAUUUGUAGAGUCUAUCUCUCAGGAGUUUCAGUGGACUAGUGGGAGCAAAAGAGUGAUUUGACUGGUGUACCUACCAGUGAGGGUACAGUCAGGAAACAGAAAUUAUUCUAAGUAUUUGAAACUGAGGGAAUUAAUCUAGAGGAUUGAUGAUAGGUGAGCUGAGAAAACUAACAGGAGACAGUAAAGCAACCCAGAGAUUAGCAACUGGAGGUAGCUAUUCCCACCCCUAGAGUUGAAAGAGUAGUAGAAGACGGUGGUGUUGCCAGAGCCCAGAAACCAGUGUAGUCCAGCAGGGACUAAAACCCCUACAGAAGCCACCUAGGGGGCCAAAGUAGGUGCUGUAUGGUGGGACCUGGAGCCAUGGGGGAGACACAGCAGACACUGGAGAGGCUGCCUGAGAAAGGGAAAAGUGGAGGGAAAUUUAUGGCUUCUCCUUUCUUCUCACCCUUUAUUCUCCUGCUAAUGUCUCUCAUUGGCCAACUCCAGCAAGAAGCAAGCUGCCAGGGAGCCUGCGAAAUGCAGCUUACAGGUGUCAGCCCCCUUGUAGUUUAUAUCAGAAUGGGUGAAGGGUGGAAAAACAAGAGUGCAAACACGCAUAUGACUGACCUAACUGUGUUCAAGGGAGAAUGGGGUGCUUCUGGAAAUGAAGAAUUGGUUUACUAGGAUUAAUCCUUCUACUGUGAACAAUUAAAACUGUUAGAUGAGGGGUCGGCCUGGUGGCAUAGUGGUUGAGUUCAUGCACUCUGCUUGGGCAGCCUAGGGCUCAUGGGGUUCGGAUCCUGGGCGCAGACCUACACACUGCUCAUCAAGCCAUGCUGUGGCAGGAUCCCACAGGCAAAAUGGAGGAAGACUGGCACAGAUGUUGGCUCAGGGACAAUCUUCCUCAAACAAAAAGAGGAAGACUGGUGAGGAUUGGCAACAGAUGUUAGCUUAGGGCCAAUCUUCCUCACCAAAAAGAAAAAAAAAGCUAGAAGAAAUUUUUUUUCAAAAAAAUAUUUAAAGUGAAGUGCUAUCAACAGAGAAGGAGACUGCCAGAUCUGCCAGAUCUGCCAGAUCUGGGGGCGAGCUGGAAUGUGGAGAUAAGAGCAGAGCACAAGCAAAACAAAGGUGCUAUUGCUCUGAGGGAAUCUGUCAAAACAGGAAAAUGUACAAGGCCUUCAGGGCAAGGUGAACAGGAGUCAAAGCUCAAAGCCAUCAAGAGCUUGCUGAAGGACAUCUGGGCUGCUUCCAGUUUUUUAUUAUAAACAAAUGGUUGUACGACUCUAUAAAUAUACUAAAAACCAUUGACUUGUACAAUUUAAAUAGGUGAACUUUAUGGUAGGUAAAUUAUAUCUCAUAAAGCUAUUCGAAAAAUAGCAAGAGUAAGAGAAAGACAUUUCUGAUGAAAAACAGAACAUUUGCCACUAGUAGAUCCUCAGGAAAGGAUAUUCCAAAGCAAGCAUUCCAAAGCAGGACAGUGAUCCCAGCUGGAAAGUCCAUGAAAUAAAAUGGUAUAUAUGUAGGUAAAUGUUAACAGAUACUGACUCUAUAAAACAAUGACAUCAAUAACAAGGAUGCCUUUUGAAGUAAAAAAAAUUAAACAAGAUAGAAUUAAAAUUCAUGACAAAAGAAAGAGAAUGGACAGAGGAUGGUGACGAAUCCAGAGAUCAGCAACAGUUGGCUUUUCUUACUAUCAACAGGGCUGCAAGCGCAAGAGAAGGACAUAGUGUUGCCAGAGCCCAAGGAGCAUCAAACUUAGGAGAAGCUACUCACUGAGAGUUGUCACCACUAGGAGACAGUGCUUCUGCCAAAACCUAAGCGUUGAAGCAGGGAGGGUAUAGGAUAGAAAGAACAAUAAAUCUUUCUCCAUCUGUAUUCCAAGCUCUUGCUUAUGUCUCCUACUGGCCAAACACAAAGGAACAGGAACAUCAAAAGACACACUAAAGAGAAUGAAAAGGCAAGCCAGAGUAGAAAAAGAAAAACUCCAACAGGUUUAAUCUGCAAAGAACGAAUACCCUGAAUAUAUAAAGAACUCUGAAAGAUCAGUAGGAAAAAGGCAGACAAUCCAAUAGAAAAAACUGGACAAAUGACUUGAUUAAGCACUUCACUGAAGAAAAAAUCCAUAAUAGAAAUUAUUUACAAAUGAAAAGGUGCUCAAUUUUUUGUCAUCUUUGAAUAACAGAGUAUAAUUCCAUUCAUUUAAAUUUCUAAAAAUACUGCUCAAACUAAACAAUGGCAUAUUGUUUAGUGAUGCAUAGGUAAGUGAUAAGGCACUAAAAAGAAACAUGGAAAUGAUUAUGGGACAGGAUUGUGGAUAGUUCACCAUAGUAACAAGAGGGAAGGUAGAGUACACUGAAACAGUAGCAGGGAAGUCCACAGGUGUGGUAGUGAGAAACAGACUCUAGAGCCAAAGUGCAUGGUAUAAACAACAGCUGUUUGACCUUGGGAAAAUUCUGUGAUUUCUCUGUGCCUCUUAGCUCCUCAUCUGUAAAACAGGGCAAAUAACAGUAGUUAUGUAACAGAAAGCACCCAGAAAAUGCUGAGCCCAUAGGAAGCACUCAAUAAAUGGUAGUUAUUAUAAUUAUUAUUGAUUUUUAGGCUUCUUGCUUAUUCAAUAUUUAUAAAGCACCUACUAUGUGCCAGAAACUCUGCAACGAGUUUACACUAUAUCAGAGGAGGUGGGUCAUCUAACAAUAAUUUUAUUGAAAGCUUAUUACGUGACGCUGUAUUCUAAAUGCUUUAGAAAAAUGAAAUGGACUGAAGCUGAAUGUACAGUUCGGUAUAAUGACCAAGUCAUUAAUUUUUCAGUUAACAGAAGUGAACAAAUGUAGUUAUGUUAUUUUUAUUUGUUUUAAGACUGCCACUAUCUCAUCAAUUAUUAAUAGUUCUCUAGACUUGGCCAGAAUCCAAGAUCUUACAAUAUUCUGUCUUUAUAAUUAAAUAUCACAUCCCCACAUAUUCAUCCAAUAUUUAUUAACAUUCAUUAAAUGUAAAGUCCUGGGGUUGACACAAAGAUGUAAGUCAGUCCUUCUCAAAAAUGACCUCAGCCCAAUGGAAUACAGACAUUUAAGAAACAGACAAGGAGCCGGCCCCGUGGCGGAGUGGUUAAGUUCUCGCACUCCGCUUUGGCGGCCCAGGGCUUCAAUGGUUCAGAUCCUGGCGGCGGACAUGGCACCAUUCCUCAGGCCAUGCUGAAGUGGCGUCCCACGUGCCACAACUAGAAGGACCCACAACUAAAAUUCACAACUAUGUACUUAGGGGAUUGGGGGAGAAAAAAGCAGAAAGAAAAAAAAAAAGAAGAUUGGCAACCGUUGUUAGCUCAGGUGCCAAUCUUUAAAAAAAAAAAGACAAUACAAUCUAAUGUGGCAAAUGUGUGAAGAGAGAUUAGAAUAGGUUACUACAGGAGCAUUUAGGAGGAAAGAGUGAUUAUUCAGUACCCUAAGAGGUCAGGCAAAAGCUUUCUGGAAAAUGUGACAUAUAAACUAAAUUUUAGGAGAUGAGUAGAAGGCAAACAAAUGAAAAUAAUGAGGUGGAGAUUCAUACCAAGAGAGGCCAGCUGAGAAGUCCAGAGUUACCUCCCAUACUCAAAUCCAUGCUCUGAAAGCAUGUUCACAUCCCAAAUCCAUAGCCAUGGAUCAGAGAUUUUUCAGAGACAGGGAAAAGUCUUAAGAAUGGAGAGCACAGAAGCUCUCCUAAAAGCAACUGACUUUUAGGGGAGAGGAGACUCAAGCCUAAGGUCACUCUCAGAAUGGAAAUUUUGGUGGUAAGCAGUCAAGAGGAGAACAGUAAUAUCAUGGUAACAAGCUAAACGAUAGGCCAGCUACUUUAUGAAAGAACAGAGAAAAAAGAAUAAGAAUAAUGAACAGAGCCUCAGAGAAAUGUGGAAAACCAUUAAGUAAAUCAACAUACACAAAAUGUGAGUUCCAGGAGGGAACAAAAGGAGUAAAAAAAUAUGUUCAAAGAAAUAAUGACUGAAGGCUUCCAAAAUUUGAUGACAAACUUUAAUCUAUACAUCCAAGAAGCUCAACAAAGUCCAAGCAGGAUAAAUACAAAAAGACUCACACUGAGAUACAUUCUCAAAAAGUAAUAUUGGAUUGGUGAUCAAGGUUAACAUCAACAGUGAUACGUCAUGUUGAUAUCAUGCACCCUUGAGAUGACGUGAUGAAAUGCCGUUACUGUUUUUACUGAGUUUGAGCAUAUUCUCUUCAAGAAAUGUUAUUUCAUUUGCUGUAAGCUC
ensembl:lncRNA